rnacentral:tRNA from 6 species
GGAUGCUUAGCUCAGUCUGGUUAGAGCAUCUGCCUUACAAGCAGAGGGUCAUAGGUUCGAGUCCUAUAGCAUCCACCA